AGAAUCAACGCUGGCGGCGUGCCUAACACAUGCAAGUCGAACGAGAAAGGGGUAGCAAUACCCUGAGUAAAGUGGCGCACGGGUGAGUAACACGUGACUAACCUACCCUGGAGUGGGGGAUAACUGAGGGAAACCUUAGCUAAUACCGCAUAAUACCUACGGGUCAAAGGAGCAAUUCGCUUUGGGAGGGGUCGCGGCCGAUUAGUUAGUUGGCGGGGUAAUGGCCCACCAAGACGAUGAUCGGUAUCCGGCCUGAGAGGGCGCACGGACACACUGGAACUGAAACACGGUCCAGACUCCUACGGGAGGCAGCAGUGGGGAAUUUUGCGCAAUGGGGGAAACCCUGACGCAGCAACGCCGCGUGGAGGAUGAAGUACUUCGGUACGUAAACUCCUUUCGAUCGGGACGAUUAUGACGGUACCGAGAGAAGAAGCCCGGCUAACUUCGUGCCAGCAGCCGC
rnacentral:rRNA from 1 species